rnacentral:lncRNA from 1 species
GUUAUGAAGUUCUAAAAGCAAGUCUUAAUCAGGAAGUGUCCUUGAUCACCAACGGCUCGCCCAGGCAUGCUGGCUCUCUUCCACUUCCACCUUCCACCAUGGGAUGACGCAGUAAGAAGGCCAUCAGUAGAUGCCAGUCCCUCAACCUUGAACUUUCCAGACGCAGAACUUUAUGCCUCCAUUUUCCUCUGCUGCAUGGCCCCAGGAGAGAUUUUAAUUAGCUUUCUAACCUUGGUCCAGAUUGCACAUGCAAAUGGUAGAGGAUGCAACACCCCCGCUUGUGGAGCUGCCGCUUGUGUCUGGCAUGGAUGCCCCUUCUAGAUGUUCAUGGCUCACUCCCUGCCAUGUUGUCAGGUAUUUGAGCUCUCUGUUCCCACUCAGAGUAGAUGAGCAGAAGAGGAAAUGAGGGCCUUCCCAGAGCAACUCCCCCAGAUGAACAGAGCCAGGCUGCCUGGAUUCAAUGUUAUCUUCAUUUCUUAGCUGUAUCAUCACGAGUUGUUUAAUUCCUCAGCACUUAAUUUUCUUGACCUGCAAAAAUAUGGAUCAUAAUGAUCAUUAACUAAUAAGUUUGCCAUGAGGAUUAACUGUAUAUUAAGGGCUGAUAAAAUUAUAUGUUACAAAAAAAUUCACAAGAAGAGAGGAAAUACUGAGGAGAAAAUGGCAGAUUGUGUUUGCUGAAUUUGAUUGACGAAGAAGUCACCAUGAAAAUCACAGUGAACCAUUUGGAAAGCAAACUGCCAAAAAAUAAUAGUUAGUCAUGCUCUCAGGCUGGUUGUUUUGGCUGUUGUGGGUUUCUUGCAUUUCCAGAUGAUUGCAAAGAGCUGUUUCUCAAUUUCUGCAACAAGUGCCAGCUGAAAUUUUGGUACCAGUUUCAUUAAAUAUGUAGAACAAUUUGAGCCUGAGUGAGUUCUGUGGAGCCCAUACUACCUGCGAUUCAAGCCAGCAACCUUGGAAUCUCCCUGAACAAUUUCUAUGGUGUCCAAUCACAUUUGCAAUCACUCCCCACACUCAGACUGUGUAUUUUUGGCUGCUCUCCAAGCCCUUGAGGAAAACACUUGGAGUCAAUCUCAUCCUUUUGAUGCAGUGCUGAGUAAUGAGGUAUUUCCCUGUCUAAAGAUUUUAGAAGAUGGAAAAAAGAAAAAUACAUUGCACUCUGAAACAUUCUACAUAAAAAUGGAAUGUGUGGUCAUUAGAUUAACUCAGGCUUUGGACCUCGGGGCAUAAAACCCAUUUCCUCUUACACCAGUCUCUGAAGCUUAAAGGAUUCGUUAUUUCCAGUUGCAAAUGCCAUCAGAAAAGGAUUGUUUUUCUUUCUAGUACCACCAAGAAUGUAGUUUACCAUUGUGAAUAAACUGUCUUAAGCUUUCCCCGAAUAAAAUAAAUACAAAUGCUCCUC